ACGGCUCAGUAACACGUCAUUAAUCUGCCCUAUGCUUAGGGAUAGCCUCGGAAACCUGAGGGUAAUACCUGAUAGAGAAUUUUUCCUGGAACGGUUUAUUCUUGAAAGAUAACGGCAUAGGAUGAGAUGGCGGCGGAUUAGAUAGUUGGUGGGGUAAAGGCCCACCAAGUCUGCGAUCCGUAGGGGCCUUGAAAGAGGGAGCCCCGAGAAGGGUACUGAGACACUGACCCUAGCCCUACGGGGUGCAGCAGGCGCGAAACCUUUACAAUGCACUAACGUGUGAUAAGGGGACUCCAAGUGCUCAUACACUGUAUGGGCUUUUGCUAAGAGUAAAUAUCUUGGCGAAUAAGCGGUGGGUAAGACUGGUGCCAGCCGCCGCGGUAACACCAGCGCCGCAAGUGGGAGCCAUAUUUAUUGGGCCUAAAGCGUCCGUAGUCGGUCUAGUGAAUUUCUUGUGAAAUUAUCUGGCUUAACUAGAUAGCGUGCAGGAAACACUGCUAGACUAGAAACCGGGAGGAGUGCGGGGUAUUCCUUGGGGAGUGGUAAAAUGUUAUAAUCCUUGGAAGACCACCUGUGGCGAAGGCGCCGCACUAGAACGGAUUUGACGAUGAGGGACGAAAGCCAGGGGAGCGAUCCGGAUUAGAUACCCGAGUAGUCCUGGCCGUAAACGCUGCGAGCUAGGUGUUGCGUAUUCCAAGAGAAUACGCAGUAUCGGAGCGAAGGUGUUAAGCUCGCCGCCUGGGGAGUACGGUCGCAAGGCUGAAACUUAAAGGAAUUGGCGGGGGAGCAC
rnacentral:rRNA from 1 species